GCGUCGGUCAUCGCUCCAUCCGAUCGGGCAACACGUGGAGCCGGACUUGACUCCGCCGCACGCGUAACACCGCCGUACGUCGAGGCUGUCAAAGACCAUCGAUGUCGGCUCUGGCACCCCCUGUCGUGGAUGCCGACUUCGCCGCCAGUAGCCCACAAGGCGCGUGUCCCCACCACCGCAGGCGCCGCCGCACCACCUCCUCCGGCGCCGCCCUCCCCCUUGUGGACGGCCCGUCGCCGGCCCCACCGGCCGCUUCCGGCCACACCGAGCCAGGCCGCGCCCAGCCGCGCCACGCAGCGCCGGGACCGGAUCCGGCCGCCGGCCACCGGAGAAGCCACCAUCACCGCCGGGAGGAGCCGCCACCAGGAGGAGAGCAGGAGGGAGAGAGGAUGGAGGAAGGGCCCGCUGCCACCAUCAUUGCGGCUGCGCGGGCUCCUGCAGCACGCUCCGGCGGCGGCGAGGAGGCUCGAGGAGGGAGGGAGGUAGGUAGGAGGGCUUAGAGGUGCGGCGUCGCCGCCCGUGUCACCCAGGCUGGGCUACGCGGGGACGGGACGGAAGUUUCAGAUAAUGGUCCCCUGCCUUCCUUCUUCGUAUCCUCCAUCAGAUUCCGAAACAAACGCCACGUUACAUGGUGCUUUCUGCCUUCAGUCUUCGUGCGCAGGGAAACCGUAGCUAGGCAGCCGCAUCGGAGAGGAGCUGCUGCCCCGGUUGAUUCCACGUGAAGCGGCAGGUGCGGUGAAGGAGGUACACACGGACACACUUGGUUAGUCGGCGAUUUGUUUUUCUUUCCGUUUUCGCAUGGGGAUGAAUAGCGUGGUGACCUGAUUAUGGAAUUGAUGACUAAUCGUCUUUCGGAUGCAUGGACGAGGUACAUGGCUAGAGCAUUGGACCAUGCAGGGGGCAACUGCCCGUAGCCUGAAUUGCUGAGUGUACAGAUCAUAGCCUGAUUUUUGUAACACACAUGCCUUUGGUGAUCUGAACUCCUGAUCGAAUUGUUUUACUGCAUUUUUCACUUUUCAUUCAACCCAUGAUCUGAACCCCGGAUCGAAUCUUGCAACCGCACUGCCUCCAAUCUGAUCUUGCACCUGACUCGCACGCGACCUGCACUGCACCUGCACCGCCUCCAAUCAGAUCGGCUCCAUCCCCCUCAGUUUGUAGAUCAGAAAGCAGCAGCCCACUGAUUUUGCCGAUUCGAGGCUUCACAUUUCUGCUUUACACGAUACAAAACCCAGCAGAUAUAAGGACAAGAGCUACACUUGCGAGGGUUUCAGUUUCCUUCUCAACGCCUGCAGGUGCUGUACAACCGGCAACAUUGUUUGUUGAGGAGUUUUACGAUGCACAAUACUGGUAUAUACUACUAAUCUAAAAUGGACCAGUAUAUAAACAUCGGAAGGUUCAGAUUAAUUGUAUACUACUGAGACAUUGAUUAGUGGUAUAAGGUAGUAUAACUAGGUAGUAUAAGGGUAAUAUAGAAAAGAUCGAUAUUAGGACAGCCGCAUUGGCCUGUUGACGAGCCGCUCAAAAAGGGCAGUGGCCGGCCGAGCAGUGGCUGACGUACAGCGGUCAGAGGCGUGGUGGUGGUGAUUACGCAUGACAGCAAUCAAGAUACAUCUCGGCGAGGGACGUGCACAGACGACACAAGAAGGACAUGCGGCUGCAGGCCAGGUUUGAUGAACCACGGCGGCGGGCUGCAGCUACCGGCUAGGCCAAAGGACGUGGAGCGGUGUGCACUUUCAGGCAGGGGCGGAGCUGCCUUGUGCCGUCAGGGCCGCCGGACCCGAUGAAAUCUAUAAAAUUCAGUAGAAGACGAGCUGAGACGGGGCUCAAGGGUGGCCGGCCACCAGCGCUAAGGGCGCAUGGCGGCACGUGCAGCAAGGGGCGACGGCGGCCGCGGCAACUGCACAGGGAUGGGGACCCGCACUGCCCCGCAGGGCACCAGACGACGUGAGGACCAGCGGCAGCCGCACAGGUGCCAGCCAGGGGCAGGAACGAGCAGCAGCGGGAUGGCAGCACGCUUGGGACCGAAGAAUCGAAGAUGCAAUCAGCAUAGGGAGAAGUACGGACGGGCUGGAAAUGCAAAAUUAAAAAUCUCAAUUAAGCUAACAAUUACUAUCUUAUCUCUACUAAUGGACGGUUGGAUCUUCUCUAUACUACAUACCACUAAAUGGUAGUAUUGUGUGCUGUAAAA